rnacentral:rRNA from 1 species
UACGGAGGGUGCAAGCGUUGUCCGGAUUUAUUGGGUUUAAAGGGUGCGUAGGCGGCUCAUUAAGUCUGGGGUGAAAGCCCGUUGCUCAACAACGGAACUGCCCUGGAAACUGGUGAGCUUGAGUACAGACGAGGGUGGCGGAAUGGAUGCUGUAGCGGUGAAAUGCAUAGAUAGCAUCCAGAACCCCGAUUGCGAAGGCAGCUGCCUAGA